rnacentral:rRNA from 1 species
GGGGGGGGGGGGGGGGGGGGGGGGGGGGGGGGGGUGGGGCGGCGGCGCGGGGAGGGCUGGCUCGGACGGGUGGCGGGUGGCGGGCGGGUGAGGGAUACAUCGGGAUCUACUUUUUCGUGGGGGAUAACGUAGGGAAACUUACGCUACUACCGCAUACGGCCUACGGGUGAAAGCAGGUGAUCUUCGGACCUUGCGCGAUUGAAUGAGCCGAUGUCGGAUUAGCUAGUUGGCGGGGUAAAGGCCCACCAAGGCGACGAUCCGUAGCUGGUCUGAGAGGAUGAUCGGCCACACUGGAACUGAGAAACGGUCCAGACUCCUACGGGAGGCAGCAGUGGGGAAUAUUGGACAAUGGGCGCAAGCCUGAUCCAGCCAUACCGCGUGGGUGAAGAAGGCCUUCGGGUUGUAAAGCCCUUUUGUUGGGAAAGAAAAGCAGCAGGUUAAUACCCCGCUGUUCUGACGGUACCCAAAGAAUAAGCACCGGCUAACUUCGUG